UUUCGUACGCAUACCGAGCACUGUAUAAAUGGGGACGAAGAAAGAAAGAAAAGAACAAACGCAAAAAAGAUAGACCGAAGAAAAACGGGUUACUAAGACCGUUGCCACUGGCAGUGUGGUGCAGUAGUGCAGUGGCGCUGGGUAGGCCUUGCUUACCAGCAAAAGUUUACGUAUUGAACAUUGAUCGACUGCUUGGUGACGCGGGCCAUCUCCUCCUUCAGCACGCCUAUGAAUUGGUUCGAGCAGAGAUCCCACUCGGGAUGUACCAGCUGGAAGCAGCUCUUGUGCCGUAGAAAUUCUGCCGAAAUGGAGGACACCCAACAAGGAUCAGCAUCAUUUGAUACUUACCACGCUGGAAGGCUUGAUCGUAGCACAGAUACUCGUACAGCUUCUGUGCACCGUACACUUCGUUUUCGAUAAUUUUCCGCUGCCGCGCAUUGACGCACUCCCUCAGAUACUGGCGGACGCAUUCCAUACCGCGGUUGAAGAUCCUUGUUUGAGGAGGGCACAACAAAACAAAUGGCAAUGCAAGCAAGAACUCGGUAUGUGGGCGUCUCCAUUAGAGGUGAGGUUACACAGUAAUACCUACAGGCACCGGCUGUUGAUUUCCUCCAGCGAGUCGGGAAUUUUGACCGCAUGCAGUGCUUCGACCGCAACGGUUGGGGUGAAAUUACGGAAGCAAUUACCGAGCAACUGUCCUGCCCGGCCACAUGCCGUUUCGGGGAUGGCACCGUAGGCGACUGGAAGCAUGCAGACUAAAAACAGGGAGGAAAGGGGAGAAAAUAUGUGAUUGUACUCUUCAGUCUGUGACAGUGAUAACGUAUCGAACCGGAUGGAGAUGGCAAAGAGAGCAAUAUCGAACCCUGUCAUGUAAUCGUUUACUUUAUCCGUGCGUUUCGAGGAUCUUUGUCUUAAUCAUGAUUCCCGCAAACACCGCAAGGGGCAUAAGCAUCACUUAGGAAAAGCGAUUGACGGGUUUUACCCGCCGGUGUUUAGUUGGAAAUAGUUUAUACCGUCCCACCGUUCCGUCGGAUAAACGACCCAUUCAACUCGUUCUCGCUAAUCAGUGUGAAGCUAAAGCAUGCCAAACAUCACAACGCCGCAGGCAAUCUGCCGGGCAGAUAAUGUUGGGCCGUCCUUAAUCAAGCGGAAAUAUUCGCACGAAAUAUCCACCACACGCAAGAAGCCGAGCAACGUGGGUGAAGAAGCGUGGGUAGGGUUUGUCCCUUUGACUUUGCUACCAAGCCACCAUAACCGAAGGUGGUAACCGGCCAUGGAGGUGGUACCGUAAUGUCAGGGGCAGUCCGUCAGUGCAAAGGUUGGUCUCGGUAAUGGUAUUGCGGUACAAUGAAUAAUUUGAUAAACGCCAGCAGAUGUAUACGGUGAUCACCACUCACUGUUUGAUCUACUGCUCGCCGGUCGCUUUUUGCCACUUUCCAGAUACUUACAUCCCCAUAAUGUACACCCACAUAUCCACCAGACGAUGCGUAGUCCACGUUCCGUGCGCUUAACCGACAUGUUUAGCAGUGAUGCAAACGAGUUUUGUAGCCACACUCCACUUCACUUGCUGCAACGGUUCACGCACUUGCAUGGCGCUGCCCAACUCGUCCACUCGCGG